GACGAACGCUGGCGGCGUGCCUAACACAUGCAAGUCGAGCGAAUAAAGUUCCUUCGGGAACGGAUUUAGCGGCGGACGGGUGAGUAACACGUGGGCAACCUGCCUCAUAGAGGGGAAUAGCCUUCCGAAAGGGAGAUUAAUACCGCAUAAGAUUGUAGUAUCGCAUGGUACAGCAAUUAAAGGAGCAAUCCGCUAUGGGAUGGGCCCGCGUCGCAUUAGCUAGUUGGUGAGGUAACGGCUCACCAAGGCGACGAUGCGUAGCCGACCUGAGAGGGUGAUCGGCCACAUUGGGACUGAGACACGGCCCAGACUCCUACGGGAGGCAGCAGUGGGGAAUAUUGCACAAUGGGGGAAACCCUGAUGCAGCAACGCCGCGUGAGUGAUGACGGCCUUCGGGUUGUAAAGCUCUGUCUUCAGGGACGAUAAUGACGGUACCUGAGGAGGAAGCCACGGCUAACUACGUGCCAGCCGCCGCGGUAA
rnacentral:rRNA from 1 species